rnacentral:lncRNA from 1 species
AAAACCAAUCUUUUCUUUGUGCCUCAAUGAUUCUGGCUCGCCGAUCUGGGAUAAUUACUCGUCGUCGUCCACGUCUUCUUAUUGUCGUAUCCAUGAUGUGGUUUAAAGGUUCAAUUGGUUAAUAGGGCUUAACAAUCAUAUGUGAAUCAAUCUUGAGACUAUGCAUGCUACACCAAAGAAAAUGUGAACAACACGCAUAAAGUAUGAAUAAAUUACUGAUAUAU